rnacentral:rRNA from 1 species
CCUACGGGAGACAGCAGUGGGGGAUAUUGCACAAUGGGGGAAACCCUGAUGCAGCGACGCCGCGUGGGUGAAGAAGCGCCUCGGCGCGUAAAGCCCUGUCAGCAGGGAAGAAAAUGACGGUACCUGAAGAAGAAGCCCCGGCUAACUACGUGCCAGCAGCCGCGGUAAUACGGAGGGGGCAAGCGUUAUCCGGAUUUACUGGGUGUAAAGGGGGCGCAGACGGCGAUGCAAGCCAGGAGUGAAAGCCCGGGGCCCAACCCCGGGACUGCUCUUGGAACUGCGUGGCUAGAGUGCAGGAGGGGCAGGCGGAAUGCCUGGUGUAGCGGGGAAAUGCGUAGAUAUCAGGAGGAACACCGAUGGCGAAGGCGGCCUGCUGGACUGCAACUGACGUUGAGGCCCGAAAGCGUGGGGAGCAAACAGGAUUAGAUACCCGGGUAGUC